ACUGGCCGUCUGUACUUUUUACUGGCAAAAAAGAAAAGAAAAGAAAAGAAAAGGGCGAACUGGCAAAAAAUGAAGUGUUGGUUCACAUGCUCACAGGAACCGACUACAAUCGAGCAAUUCCAAUGAAUCUUUUUUAGGCUUCCUCUGCGAUCGCGAGUAAAAUAAUGUCAACCGCCAGUCUCUCGCCAACCCUUGGAACUCCGCGACAUGAUCGUUUCGAGGGACAACCACUGUAAAGAUCCUCCUCCUCAUCGGGGGUCUCAUUUCCUCUGUGGUGCUUCCGAGCACUGCUCUCUACUUGGAACAUCUGAUUGAUACGUGACCGACUCCCGAACAAACCAUGAUGAAAUUUGAAUUCAAACACGACCAGAUAGGAGCUUGUUAUCUUCCGUUGGAAGUCUCCAGAAAAAUCUGGCACCCAGAUCAGAUCACGUCGAGAAGGGACGAGGAGAUCGAAGGGCGUCCGUCCAUUUUGGUGUACUCGAUCGUCACCCGCAGCCUCUGCUUACUUACGAUUCAUUCUCAUUCUCCCUCCUCACAACUCAACAAGUGGCGUCCAUCACCGUGCGACGCUCGCUCUCUCUCUCUCCUCGUCGGUGAUAUCCGCGUCCAACAAAAUCCGCAACGGAGUCCUCCAGAAAAGGCGUCCGCAUCCCUAUUUAUUACGAACCCCCGUGACCCUGGCGACUUUGACUUCCCUGCGACCUCACAUUCGCUCGCCGAUCCUCCCUCCCUAACUGCACCGACGCCGGCUUUGCCACAAUCCCAAGCCAGCCGUCGAGACAGUGAGGCCGGUAAGAGGGGCGAGUCUAAUCAUCACCUUCCGAAUCUUCGCUUUCACUGAGACCAGUGGAGGAGGGAGGAGGAGGAGGAGGAAGAGAGAGAGGCCGUUGUCCUGUUCGCUAGGGAGAUUUAUAGUGAAUUAGUAGGGGGUGGCGUGGGGACGACAGCUUGUUGGAUGCUUCUGCUCUCAUCUUUAUCUUCUUCCGUUUAGAAUCAAUCUACUUCUCCGUUUUCAAGCCCAUUAGUCGAUUUGGUUCUUGGAAGCCAAGGCGUAGGCGUUGGAUCCAAAUCUCUCGUCUUAUUCUUCAUUCUUCUCCACUUCGCCAUCCGAUAACCAAGGGUAGAAUCGAAGUGUGAUGAUGGAUAGCCUGCCGGCCACCCCGGGCAAGUUCAAGAUGGACAAGCCCCAGUAUCACCAUCACCACCACCACCACCCGCGUCAGCUCACCGUCCGGUGGCAUCACUACCCGCUCGUCUCCAAGGUCGCAGUCUGGUCUUUCCUCGCCAUCGCCCUCCUAGUCGCCUUCUUCUUCCUCUCACCCACCACCCCCAACUCCUCCUCCACCUCUGGGCGUCGCUCCCUCCGUAACGCCGCCCCGUGGGGCGGCCCCGCCUGGGAGAAGUGCGUGCGCUCCUCCGCCCGCGUCCGCCGCUCCGGCGGCAUCUCCGUCCUCGUCACUGGCGCCGCCGGCUUCGUGGGUACCCACGUCUCUACCGCGCUCAAGCGCCGCGGCGACGGCGUCCUUGGGCUCGACAACUUCAACGACUACUACGACCCCUCCCUCAAGCGCGCCCGCCAGGCCCUCCUCGACCGCGCGGGUGUCUUCGUCGUCGAGGGCGACGUCAACGACGGCCCUCUCCUCCACAAGCUGUUCGACGUGGUGCCCUUCACCCAUGUGAUGCACCUGGCCGCGCAGGCCGGCGUCCGUUACGCCAUGACCAAUCCGUCCUCCUACGUCCACUCCAAUGUCGCCGGGCUCGUGUCGGUGCUCGAGGUCGCCAAGUCAGCGGACCCGCAGCCCGCCGUUGUUUGGGCUUCGUCGUCUUCCGUCUACGGCCUCAACUCCCACGUGCCCUUCUCGGAGGUUGACCGCACUGACCGGCCGGCCUCCCUCUACGCCGCCACCAAGAAGGCAGGCGAGGAAAUCGCCCAUGUCUACAACCACAUUUAUGGACUCGCCAUCACCGGCCUCCGCUUCUUCACUGUCUACGGCCCCUGGGGGCGCCCCGACAUGGCCUACUUCUUCUUCACGAGAGACAUCCUCCGCAGCAAGCCGAUUUCCAUCUUUGAAGGCCCAGGUCAUGCCACCGUUGCCCGUGAUUUUACCUACAUUGAUGACAUCGUGAGCGGUUGUCUUGCGGCUCUCGACAAUGCUGGGAAGAGCACCGGUAGCGGCGGCAAGAAGCGGGGGUCUGCGCCGCUCCGCGUCUACAACCUCGGCAAUACGUCCCCAGUCCCCGUGUCUCAUCUCGUGUCUAUCCUGGAGCAACUCUUAAAGGUCAAGGCCGUCCGCAAUGUCGUCAAAAUGCCACGGAAUGGGGAUGUACAGUUUACUCAUGCCAACAUCAGCCUUGCGCAGCGGGAGCUCGGGUAUCAUCCGACCACCGGUCUGAACACUGGCCUCAAGAAGUUCGUCCGGUGGUACCUUGGGUACUACCCUACUUCCUCGAGUAAAAAGGGAUCAAGAGGUGGCAGCAGCAGUGCUCUCUAGCCAGGGAAGGAUGUUGGUGGCAGUUGGUGAUAUUUUCUGCUACUUCCUCAGAUGAACCAUCCGUGCCCAUGACUGCAGGGAGAAUAUGUAUCCAUCAUGGUCAUGAUGCGACAUUGAUGUGCUACUCUCUGUGCAGAUGAACCAUUCGUGCCCGUAUGGCUCAUCCAGCAAUGAAAGUAGGUGAGAUGGUUGGUGUUUUUAUUUUUUAUAAAAUGUUUUGCUUCGUUUUUUUUUAUAGAAAUAAUAAGUGAUGAAGAUAAGAUCUGAUUCCACUGUUGAGACCAAAUUGUUAGGACUUGAACUGAGAAGGAUUAUUCUUUGAGCUUACAAAGAAGAAGACCUUGAGGGGAUUUGGCAAUUCAUUAACAGAUUUUGCCUCCACUAACAAGAUCGUAUUCUAACAUAUUGUUUCAGGCCUUCGGAAAUUGAGAAUUUGAUUAGUGGACAUAAAUCAUGAG